ensembl:rRNA 5S_rRNA 5S ribosomal RNA
AUCUAUGGCCAUACCACCCUGAACACUCCUGAUCUCGUCUGAUUUUGGAAGCUAAGCAGGGUCGGGCCUGGUUAGUACUUGGAUGGAAGAAAGAAGAUGGCAUAGUGA